UUCAGGCAGACUGUUCUUGAAGGAGCAUUCCAACUGCCAUAUAAUUUCUUUGGGUUGAGUUCCAUGGAAGUUUGUCACUUACCUGUGUUCCUGAACUAUGAACUACUAAUAUCUGGGCUAAGGAAUAGUUUCUCAUGAUAAAUAAACGAUUAACAAAUACUGUGGACACU